AACGCAUAUUGCGCUCUCUGGCCCUCCAGGGAGCAUGCCUGUUUGAGUAUCAGUUUAAAUCUCACACCCCCUUGGGGGUGUGGAUAUGAGUGCUCCGAACGCACGCGUUGACGGUAGCUUAUCGUCAACCGCGCAAGCAUUCGGUCGCUUAAAAUAUAGCGCGUGCUGUGUUCGUCACUGCUCUUCGGCUUAGGCGUACCAGUUCUCCCGAGGAGAUCCACCAUACGCCGGUGAUGAGUCGAUGAGCCUUUGUGUUGGCUGACGGCCGCGCCCAUUCAAUGAUCGCUGGCGCCAUGCAGUAUGCAUUGUCGCUUGUCCUUGAUCUCAAAUCAGGCAAGAUUACCCGCUGAAUUUAA
rnacentral:misc_RNA from 1 species